UGGAUGAAACUGUGGUCAAUGUGUGCAUAGUUCUAUUGCUGUUGUUGAGCCUCCACAUGUAUUUUUUAUUGGACGUGGCCUACGUGAUUUAUUCAAGACGAUAUAUAAAGAUACAGUCGGUUUAUUUAAGUUGAUAUAUAAAUAUACGAUAGAUCUAACGGUUAGUAUGUAUUUCGACACGUCUUUAAUGGGCGAACGUGAUUUAACAUACUUACGUUAAGUUGUAUAUAAAUAUAACAUACGGANUAGAUCGAACGGUUAGGGUGUAUCUGAACACGUCCUUAAUGGACGGACGUGAUUUAACAUCCUUACAUUAAGUUGUAUAUAAAUAUAACAUACGGAAGUCCUAGUCUAAUCCUAAUCCUAAUUUCUGUGACGGCCCCAUCUCUAGGGAUAAUGGAAUUAAACUCGAAACGUUCCGUCUUUUUGCAGAUUACGAACGAGGAGGAACUACGAGUAAGGAUUGCCGUCUACAAUCCGGGUAUUGAAAUCAAAAUUAUGACAGAAGAUACAAUAUUAGUUUCUGGUAUCAAAGCCGCAUCUUUUACCGAAUUUUCGUUUCUUUUUAAAUUUCGUUUGAUUUUCUUUUCAUUAAAAAAUAAAUUAACAAAUAAAUUUUAAU
rnacentral:lncRNA from 1 species